rnacentral:rRNA from 1 species
GACGUGGGGCGCGAGCGUUGUCCGGAUUUAUUGGGCGUAAAGAGCUCGUAGGCGGCUUGUCGCGUCGUCCGUGAAAACCAGGGGCUCAACCCCUGGCUUGCGGUCGAUACGGGCAGGCUAGAGUUCGGUAGGGGAGACUGGAAUUCCUGGUGUAGCGGUGAAAUGCGCAGAUAUCAGGAGGAACACCAAUGGCGAAGGCAGCUCGCUGGGACGGUACUGACGCUGAGGCGCGAAAGCGUGGGGAGCAAACAGG